CUCAGCCACACACACAGUCCCCGCAUCUUAUCCUGGAUCCGCUAGAGGCUUUGCCUUCCUUCACUCAUCUACAGGCCACUCCACGCAGCGCCGCCACCUCUAGUUUCCCAACCUCGCGCAAACCAGCAGCGGUCGGCUGCGUGCGUGCACCCAUGCGUCCCGCGUGGUGGCUGCCGGUGGCGCCCAUGGCUCCCUCGCGAUAGGUGAUGGCCGAGGACAUCCAUCACUCCCACGCGGUCAUGGGUUCACGGCCAACACUCCUUGAUGGACGGCUGCCCGCUUCCGAUGAUGCACCCGCUGCUGUGCAUCGGCAUCCGACGUUGUGCGAAGCGAAUGAUGACCGUUGAAACCAAUCGUCUCCAACGCUCGCUUUUAUUUAGAUUAAAUUGUUUUACUUUUAUGUUACUAUAAUUAUAAUUAUAUUUUCAACAUGCGAACUUAACCUAUAUGCUUUUCUAUUAUACCUAGCAACUAAAUAGAUAAAAAUGAAUGUAUAUAGAACAAAAAUACAUCUAGAUACAUUCAUUUCUCCGACAAAUAUUUUUGAAUUGAGAGAGUACUUAACAAUAUAACUAAAUGUGAAGAUAUAACAUUUUUAUUAUGUAAUUUUAACAUUGGUUGGGAAAAGCCAAUUUUGAUAAAUUUUAAAGAUAUAUCAGAACGACUGUGACGUAGUUAGUUAUUUUUGAGAUACUAAGUGUCUCUUUUUCAUCCAAUUAUGCUAGAUCUUAGAAAAUACUCCCUCUGUCCCAAAAUAAGUGUCUUAACUUUGUAUAAACUUUAGUAUGAAGUUAUACUAAGGUUGAGACAAUUAUUUUGAGACGGAAGAAGUAGAACAUACCAAAUCGUAAAUAUUUACCGACUUAACUAAAGUCUCUUAAUAGAUUGCAAAUACACAUUGUCGUGUGUGUUUAUUUAGUUUUCUUAAAUAUCAUGGUUGAGAGCUAUAAAGUUGGUCGGGGUUUCUAGAAUGCAAGCUAUCACCUUUUGAGUGCAACUAAACAAAGAGAUAUUUAUCUUCAAACCAAAUCAAAAACUCUGAAUAUGGACUAAGUGGUUUGUCUUGGAACUACCGCUUUUCAUGUUUACUACUUUCUCCGCCACCAAAUAUGUCUUCCAUAUUAUUGGUUCAACUAUCAACUCCCAUCCCAAAACUUUCCACUUUGCCGUGAAUUAGCAUUAUUCAGCUCAACCCGCAUUAAACGCAUCUAACUUUUUCCUUGAUUUGAUGUGCAGUCUGUAUAAAAAAGUUUGCUUUGUACUCCCUUCAUCCCAUAAUAUAAGAAUGCUGCUAAAUAGAUUGAAAAUCAUUUUUAUAUUAUAGAACGGAGGGGGUAGUUGGUAAAAACAUUAUCAUUUGCAAUAGUUAUGCAUUGAUGCAUCAUUUUUCUUCUUGGUUUGGUCAGUACUCCGCAUAAAAAUGUGUAAUUAAAAAAAACUUGCACACCUCACAUUAUAUCACUCAAAAGAAAAUUAAUCAUAGUCAAGAUAUAUUCAGUAACACUUUGAUUUGGAAUAUUGUAUUUAAAAGCAUAUCCUUUAUGCAUUUGUUGGCUCGGCUACAAUAGAUUCGACUACCUUCAAACAUAUAAACCGAACCGCGAUAUUGUUUGUGA